AACGCGAAGAACCUUACCUGGGCUUGAACUACGGAUGGUAAGCCGUUGGAAACAGUGGCUGACCCGCAAGGGAGUCCGCAGAGGUGCUGCAUGGUUGUCGUCAGCUCGUGUCGUGAGAUGUUGGGUUAAGUCCCGCAACGAGCGCAACCCCUAUUCGAUGUUGCUAAUCCCGCAAGGGAUGCACUCUUCGAAAACUGCCUUCGAUAAGAAGGAGGAAGGUGGGGAUGACGUCAAAUCCUCAUGGCCCUUAUGUCCAGGGCUACACACGUGUUACAAUGGCCGGUACAAUGGGAAGCAAUACCGUAAGGUGGAGCCAAACCCACAAAGCCGGCCCCAGUUCAGAUUGUGGGCUGCAACUCGCCCACAUGAAGGCGGAAUCGCUAGUAAUCGCUGAUCAGCAGGCAGCGGUGAAUACGUUCCCGGGCCUUGUA
rnacentral:rRNA from 2 species